UUUGACAUUAAUCUAUGUAAUAAAUAAAAAUGUUAUUUUUUGCAGCCAUUACCAAAUAAGAUUAUUGCAAUAAGAAUAAAAGUAUUUAGUUCUUACUGAUUGUUAACUUUUUUUUUUUAUUAACUAGGAGGUGUUCGAGCCUGGGCCUUAAUCUCCCCCAUGGUUCGGAACCAGACUUUGCUAAUACUUUAUGACAUGGCGUAAAGCAUUUCUUCCACCGGAAAUCGAACUAGGGAGCACAUGAAUCCAAUUCCUGCACUUAAACCACUAGCCCACCGCAC
rnacentral:lncRNA from 1 species